AGCUGGCUCUAACAAGGGCAUGUGCACACUCUAUUCGUUAUAUUAUACACCUGUGCACCUUUUGUAGUUCGGUUGUUACGGGGAGAGUCGAAAGGCUUUCUCAGACCCCCGUUCUAUGUUUUUAUUAUAAACCUUUGAAUGUCUUUGAAUGUCUGCAUUAAUAAUGCAUUUUAUACAACUUUCAGCAACGGAUCUCUUGGCUCUCGCAUCGAUGAAGAACGCAGCGAAAUGCGAUAAGUAAUGUGAAUUGCAGAAUUCAGUGAAUCAUCGAAUCUUUGAACGCACCUUGCGCUCCUUGGUAUUCCGAGGAGCAUGCCUGUUUGAGUGUCAUGGAAUUAUCAAACCUUUCUUUAAAUUUAUUUUAAAGGUUGGCUUGGACUUGGAGGUUGCUGGCCGCGCCAUUUUGUAGUCNGUCAGCUCCUCUUGAAUGCAUUAGCUUGAGUCUUUAAUGAGUCGGCUUAUCGGUGUGAUAAACUUAUGCCGUUAGUCAACUUGUAAACAAAUCGAGCUUCUAAUCGUCUUUGGACAAACAUUAUAAUAUGACCUCUGA
rnacentral:rRNA from 1 species